rnacentral:rRNA from 1 species
ACGUAUGGGGCGAGCGUUGUUCGGAAUUAUUGGGCGUAAAGGGCGUCUAGGCGGGGGAUUAAGUUAGAUGUGAAAGCUAUGGGCUCAACCCAUAAAUUGCAAAUAAGACUGGUAGUCUUGAGUUCGGGAGAGGAGGGCGGAAUUCCAGGUGUAGCGGUGAAAUGCGUAGAUAUCAGGAAGAACACCAGUGGCGAAGGCAGCCAUCUGGCCUGGGACUGACGCUAAAGCGCGAAAGUGUGGGUAGCGAACAG